GACGAACGCUGGCGGCGUGCUUAACACAUGCAAGUCGAACGGUAAGGCCCUUCGGGGUACACGAGUGGCGAACGGGUGAGUAACACGUGGGUGAUCUGCCCUGCACUUCGGGAUAAGCCUGGGAAACUGGGUCUAAUAACGGAUAGGACCACUGACUGCAUGGGCGGUGGGGGAAAGCUUUUGUGGUGGGGGAUGGGCCCGCGGCCUAUCAGCUUGUUGGUGGGGUGAUGGCCUACCAAGGCGACGACGGGUAGCCGGCCUGAGAGGGUGACCGGCCACACUGGGACUGAGAUACGGCCCAGACUCCUACGGGAGGCAGCAGUGGGGAAUAUUGCACAAUGGGCGCAAGCCUGAUGCAGCGACGCCGCGUGAGGGAUGACGGCCUUCGGGUUGUAAACCUCUUUCAGCACCGACGAAGCGCAAGUGACGGUAGGUGCAGAAGAAGGACCGGCCAACUACGUGCCAGCCGCCGCCGUAA
rnacentral:rRNA from 1 species